rnacentral:rRNA from 1 species
UGGGGAAUUUUGGACAAUGGGCGCAAGCCUGAUCCAGCCAUGCCGCGUGAGUGAAGAAGGCCUUCGGGUUGUAAAGCUCUUUCGGACGGGAAGAAAUGGCAAGCUCUAACAUAGCCUGUCGAUGACGGUACCGUAAGAAGAAGCACCGGCUAACUACGUGCCAGCAGCCGCGGUAAUACGUAGGGUGCGAGCGUUAAUCGGAAUUACUGGGCGUAAAGCGUGCGCAGGCGGUUUUGUAAGACAGAUGUGAAAUCCCCGGGCUUAACCUGGGAACUGCGUUUGUGACUGCAAGGCUGGAGUACGGCAGAGGGGGGUGGAAUUCCACGUGUAGCAGUGAAAUGCGUAGAGAUGUGGAGGAACACCGAUGGCGAAGGCAGCCCCCUGGGCCUGUACUGACGCUCAUGCACGAAAGCGUGGGGAGCAAACA